UUAUGUUAAAUUAAGUCACUAAUUUAAAUAGGACUUAUUAGUAAAUAUGAGAAGAGGAAUAAUAUCAUAGAGAAGAAACUAUUCUAUAGAGGGACAUUAUUGUAAAACUCUAUCAACAAGUAUACAUAAAGUGAGUGUUGGGAAAAAGAAAAAAGAAAAACAAUUUUAGUCUCUCUCUCUCUUUCCUCUCGGCAGAACACAACCCCACCCCCUCCAAUGUAGUUUUCUUCAAAUUCACCAUUAACACCACAUGCAUGCUUAGGAUUCAAGAAGAAUAAACACCUUCUACCUUAUUAACAAGCUUAGUGAAGAAGAUUAUACAUUGGAUCUGCAUCAUGAGUUAACAAAAGAGAAGAAGUUGGAACUCAAGUGUUAGGGAUUUCUCCAAUCUUCUUCAUUUUCACUCACCCAUCAAGAACUACCUUCAAAGAGUCAAGAUGAACAGGUUCCAAGGAAGGAAAAGGAAACAGGAAUUUAAGCUUCAAGUUUUAUUUUGCUUGCCUAAUCCCUUGUAUAACUUUUGUGGAAUGUAUUAUAUCUCCUAAGUUGUAUCUUGAACUUGUUAAGUCAAGAGCUAUGUAAUUAAUAACUUGAAUUAGUUGUGAAUCUUGUUAUAACUCCUUUUGUAUCUUGGACUUAAUGAGUCAAGUACUAUGUGACCGAACUAAGUAUUGUACCAAAGGAAUGACGUGAUCGGAUGUGUUCAGACUUAUAUACUAUGUUAUCCUGUAUCAA